UACGAAGGGGGCUAGCGUUGUUCGGAAUUACUGGGCGUAAAGCGCGUGUAGGCGGGUCUUUAAGUCAGGGGUGAAAUGCCAAGGCUCAACCUUGGAACUGCCUUUGAUACUGGAGAUCUUGAGUCCGGGAGAGGUGAGUGGAAUUGCGAGUGUAGAGGUGAAAUUCGUAGAUAUUCGCAAGAACACCAGUGGCGAAGGCGGCUCACUGGCCCGGAACUGACGCUGAGACGCGAAAGCGUGGGGAGCA
rnacentral:rRNA from 1 species